rnacentral:rRNA from 1 species
CUAAGUUUGAUGGCGACCGGCGCACGGGUGAGUAACACGUAUCCAACCUGCCGAUGACUCGGGGAUAGCCUUUCGAAAGAAAGAUUAAUACCCGAUGGCAUAGUUCUUCCGCAUGGUAGAACUAUUAAAGAAUUUCGGUCAUCGAUGGGGAUGCGUUCCAUUAGGUUGUUGGCGGGGUAACGGCCCACCAAGCCUUCGACGGAUAGGGGUUCUGAGAGGAAGGUCCCCCACAUUGGAACUGAGACACGGCCCAAACUCCUACGGGAGGCAGCAUG